AGUACAGAUUAUCCUUUUUUCCGACAUUAUAAAAGACAGGAUCCAAGACCCCAGGUUGAGAAAGAGAUGAAGAGUUGAUGGGCCACUACAGUGGCUUGUUGUUGAAAGUUAGGCCUAGGAGGUACCGGGAGCUUUCCCACUACAAAAUAGCCCAUUCCUUCAACUUCUUUACCACAACAUUUAUCGGAUAACUAGACAUGAUUAGCUACAGGGUCCUCAAUCAUCAAGGAAACAUAUUGCAUUUUAUAUGUAACUGGUCACCAUUUUAUAUGUGAUCUUUGUACCAUGAUCAGCUCACACGCAUAAGUUCUCGUCAUCACCAUUUUACCUUGAAAGUUUUCUUAGAAACUUCUAUAAAAAUGAGUUACUGCAUCUCUCAGGCCUCUUAUGUUGGUCGUCGCCUAGAAGCCCAUCGACGAAGUUGCCUGCCUGUACACUUCAUGACUGUGGUUGGAAUGGUAUAUGCUGAAUUUCUGAAAAACAUAAUUCACCCACUCUGUUUUUUUUUUUUUGGAAGUGGCGAAAUGUGUAUUCUGUAUUUCAUCAAGAAAAAACAAAGUACAAAGCCGCCAAUUUGAUGACUAGAAAUAUGGACAAAAGGAGGUUUCUUCUUGAAAAAAAUAACAAUCCAUGGCUUCCACAAAGCUAUCUGAUAUCUGUCCUAUCAAAUGGUUGGAUAUGACCUGGUUUAUCGAAUGGGCUAACUUUUUCGACGUAAAUGUAGGUUUCCUCAAAAAAACACCACUUAAAUUAAUUUGCCACCAAACCAAAUCGUGUCUGUUCUGCAACCUUCUAUUGCAUCAGUGUGUGGUAGCUAAUAGUAACUGAUGAGCAUUUAAAUCAUACUUGAUCAUAUUUUUUAUUUUUUUAAGAUAAUAGAAUAAUUACAUCCUGGCAUCCAAAGAUGCACAAAGCUAUAACACUUUCUACAUGACCGUAUCAUUUUGUUCCACAUAUAACAAGAGAAAGGACACCAGACUGAAAAACAAAUAUUGAAGAGUUGAUGGGAGAUAGACCACUCCAGUGGCUUGUUGCUCCAUAUAUAAUAGUUAGGCCUAAGAGGCAUCGGGAGCUUUCCUGUUACAAACUAGCCUCCUGCUACUAAGUUUUUUGCUCAGCAUUUCUCAAGAUAGUUGACAUGACUAACUAGAUAGUUGACAUGCUGAAUUCCAUAAAAGAGUAGAUAAAAUGAAGUAGCAGCAACAUGUUUUUUUAGCUUGAUGUUAAGAGAGAUGAAACAAGAAUAUUUCAUGGAGUUCAGCCAGCCCAAUGGUUGGCUUGCUAUUGUAUGGUAGGCUUGGAAGACGUCAGGAGCUCUCAUACAUCUUAUUGGCACCUUCAAGGUCGCAGGAUGAAGCCCCUCUAGAGUGGAUUUGGUCACCUGAAUUUCAUGGUCGCGAUAGGGCUUCAUCUUUUGAGAUUUGUUCCGGUUAUCUCGAGGUACCGGUACCUCACGGUACUAAAUUAUUUCCGAUCAUUGAAUCUAGCUGGAUAGAAUGGGCAUUUUUAGAUCCAACGAUCAGAAACGACUUGGUACCGUGAGGUACUGGUACCUCGAUGUACUUUUUGUUGGACCGGAGCAAAUCUCUCCUCCUUUCGCUAUUA